UACGUAGGGUGCGAGCGUUGUCCGGAAUUAUUGGGCGUAAAGAGCUUGUAGGCGGUUUGUCGCGUCUGCUGUGAAAAUCCGGGGCUCAACCCCGGACUUGCAGUGGGUACGGGCAGGCUAGAGUGUGGUAGGGGAGACUGGAAUUCCUGGUGUAGCGGUGGAAUGCGCAGAUAUCAGGAGGAACACCGAUGGCGAAGGCAGGUCUCUGGGCAUUAACUGACGCUGAGGAGCGAAAGCAUGGGGAGCGAACAGG
rnacentral:rRNA from 1 species